rnacentral:rRNA from 1 species
CAAUAGCGUAUAUUAAAGUUGUUGCAGUUAAAAAGCACGUAGUUGGAUUUCUGGUGGGAGCGAUCGGUCUGGCGCUUAGCGCGAGUACUUGCAUCGUCUCCGGCCAUCCUUGGGGAGAGUCUGUCUGGCAUUAGGUUGUCGGGCAGAGGAUCCUCAUCGUUUACUGUGAAAAAAUUAGAGUGUUCAAAGCAGGCUUAUGCCGUUGAAUAUAUUAGCAUGGAAUAAUAAGAUAGGACUUUGGUACUAUUUUGUUGGUUUGCGCACCAAAGUAAUGAUUAAUAGGGACAGUUGGGGGUAUUCGUAUUCCGUUGUCAGAGGUGAAAUUCUUGGAUUUACGGAAGACGAACUACUGCGAAAGCAUUUACCAAGGAUGUUUUCAUUAA